rnacentral:rRNA from 1 species
GACGAACGCUGGCGGCGUGCCUAAUACAUGCAAGUAGAACGCUGAAGGAGGAGCUUACUUCUCUGGAUGAGUUGCGAACGGGUGAGUAACGCGUAGGUAACCUGCCUGGUAGCGGGGGAUAACUAUUGGAAACGAUAGCUAAUACCGCAUAAGAGUAGAUGUUGCAUGACAUUUACUUAAAAGGUGAAAUUGCACCACUACCAGAUGGACCUGCGUUGUAUUAGCUAGUUGGUGGGGUAACGGUUUACCAAGGCGACGAUACAUAGCCGACCUGAGAGGGUGAUCGGCCACACUGGGACUGAGACACGGCCCAGACUCCUACGGGAGGCAGCAGUAGGGAAUCUUCGGCAAUGGACGGAAGUCUGACCGAGCAACGCCGCGUGAGUGAAGAAGGUUUUCGGAUCGUAAAGCUCUGUUGUAAGAGAAGAACGAGUGUGAGAGUGGAAAGUUCACACUGUGACGGUAUCUUACCAGAAAGGGACGGCUAACUACGUGCCAGCAGCCGCAGUAA